rnacentral:lncRNA from 13 species
CCGUGAGGUCAAGUUGUUUAGAGAGGAAGGCAACAGGACGUGGACCUGGCACUUGGGAUUCUCUAAAGAGACCACCUGGCUGGGU